CAGUGGGUCAUUCUUGCUGAUUAAACUGGGCUUUCACAAUUAAGACAGUGUGUCUCCGUCUACUGUUUGUUUGCGGGGAAAAAAAGCUUACAAAAGGAAAGUCAUCAGACAAAUUUGCAAGAGUGCUGCAGUAAGGGGAAAUCAACAUUUAUACUGAAUGAGAGGAGAGUGCUGAUUGGUUCACCAGUGGAGUCUGAUUGAUAAAGCUUUUAAAACACAGACCUAAACAAGAAUAAAGCCAGCCAUAAAGUCCAUGUCUCCCAGUCCCAUAGAAAGUAUUUCUAAGGAGGAACAGCCAGGAUCUUCAGAGGAUGCAGUAGUCUGAUGUUCAUCCCACCUUCCACCACCAAAAGACUUCAAUGAGUAAUGUAUCUGGAAUAGGCUUCUGUGAACACAGCACUAACACAGAUCUACAACAAGAGUUGGAAGAAAUGACUAAAGUGGCACUCUGAAGACUGGUGGAGAAAAGCCCCUUGCCAAGUCUAGUACAGACGAUGAGCCUACGGGCUUGAUCAUGGUUGAGAUGACAAGAUAUAGAGUCAGACAGUGAACUAUCUGGCAGAGAUACCAGGCACUUUGCAUUGAAUAAAGUAAAUGGUAGCGGAGUCUGCACACGUUCUGCCUGAUGUAAUGGCUUUGGCACACAAGCACAUGGUUGCCUCUGUAGAUUAGGUGAUGGCAACUGGAGAGUGCAGUUCAACAAAACAGUCAUGAUCCACUAGGUAUGCAUUCAGACCUUCAUGCCAUCACUUGACCCAUCGAUGCUUUUAGUCAUUGGUUCAGCAGGAGGGAAUCAAAGGACCUUGACCUAAUUCUAGAUACCUAUUCCCUCAAGGGGUUAGCAAGGUGUCAUUGGCCAACUAGGAGGAAGAAUGACAGAUAGGCUUCCAGUGAUUAUCCUGUCAGGACACUCCAAAACUAUUGGACUUUAAUCAUCUUUAAUGUUCAUGGAUUCUUUAGUUGCCCUGGAGAAGAUGGUGGUGAGUGGCUUGCUAGGCCAAUUCAGAGGGAGGUUGAGAGUCAGCCAUAUUGCUCUGGAGUCACACAUCGGCCACAUGAGGAUGCCAGAUUUCCUUCCCAGAAGGAUAUUAGUGAUUGAGAUGGGUUUUUUCCUGACAAUGGUUUCAUCAGUAGA